GAUGAACGCUGGCGGCGUGCCUAAUACAUGCAAGUCGAGCGCACAGGCGAGAAACUUGUUUCUCUGGUGUUAGCGGCGAACGGGUGAGUAACACGUGGAUAACCUGCCUUUAAGACUGGGAUAACUUCGGGAAACCGAAGCUAAUACCGGAUAAAAUCUUGAACCGCAUGGUUCAAAAGUGAAAGACGCUCUUGCUUCCACCUAUGAUUGGAUCCGCGCUUCUUUAGUUAGUUGGUAAGUUAACGCCUUACCAAGGCAACGAUGCAUAGCCGACCUGAGAGGGUGAUCGGCCACACUGGAACUGAGACACGGUCCAGACUCCUACGGAAGGCAGCAGUAGGGAAUCUUCGGCAAUGGGCGAAAGCCUGACGGAGCACCGCCGCGUGAGUGAUGAAGGUCUUCGGAUCGUAAAACUCUGUUAUUAGGGAAGAACAUAUGUGUAAGUAACUGUGCACAUCUUGACGGUACCUAAUCAGAAAGCCACGGCUAACUACGUG
rnacentral:rRNA from 1 species